UUUUGGACAAUGGGGGCAACCCUGAUCCAGCCAUGCCGCGUGAGUGAAGAAGGCCUUCGGGUUGUAAAGCUCUUUCGGACGGAACGAAAUGGGCGGGACUAAUACUCCUGUCUGAUGACGGUACCGUAAGAAGAAGCACCGGCUAACUACGUGCCAGCAGCCGCGGUAAUACGUAGGGUGCGAGCGUUAAUCGGAAUUACUGGGCGUAAAGCGUGCGCAGGCGGUUUCGUAAGCUGGAGGUGAAAUCCCCGGGCUUAACCUGGGAAUGGCCUUCAGGACUGCGAGGCUAGAGUGCGGCAGAGGGAGGUGGAAUUCCACGUGUAGCAGUGAAAUGCGUAGAGAUGUGGAGGAACACCGAUGGCGAAGGCAGCCUCCUGGGCCAGCACUGACGCUCAUGCAGAAAG
rnacentral:rRNA from 1 species